rnacentral:rRNA from 1 species
AUUGAACGCUGGCGGCAGGCUUAACACAUGCAAGUCGAGCGGGGAAGGGUAGCUUGCUACCUAACCUAGCGGCGGACGGGUGAGUAAUGCUUAGGAAUCUGCCAUUUAGUGGGGGACAACAUUCCGAAAGGAAUGCUACUACCGCAUACGUCCUACGGGAGAAAGCAGGGGAUCUUCGGACCUUGCGCUAAAUGAUGAGCCUAAGUCGGAGUAGCUAGUUGGUGGGGUAAAGGCCUACCAAGGCGACGAUCUGUAGCGGGUCUGAGAGGAUGAUCCGCCACACUGGGACUGAGACACGGCCCAGACUCCUACGGGAGGCAGCAGUGGGGAAUAUUGGACAAUGGGCGGAAGCCUGAUCCAGCCAUGCCGCGUGUGUGAAGAAGGCCUUAUGGUUGUAAAGCACUUUAAGCGAGGAGGAGGCUACUUAGAUUAAUACUCUAGGAUAGUGGACGUUACUCGCAGAAUAAGCACCGGCUAACUCUGUGCCAGCCGCCGCGGUAA